rnacentral:rRNA from 1 species
UGCAUAUCAAUAAGCGGAGGAAAAGAAACCAACAGGGAUUGCCUCAGUAACGGCGAGUGAAGCGGCAAAAGCUCAAAUUUGAAAUCCCCCGGGAAUUGUAAUUUGAAGAGAUUUGGGUCCGGCCGGCAGGGGUUAAGUCCACUGGAAAGUGGCGCCACAGAGGGUGACAGCCCCGUGAACCCCUUUAAAGCCCUCAUCCCAGAUCUCCAAGAGUCGAGUUGUUUGGGAAUGCAGCUCUAAGUGGGUGGUAAAUUCCAUCUAAAGCUAAAUACCGGCGAGAGACCGAUAGCGAACAAGUACAGUGAUGGAAAGAUGAAAAGCACUUUGAAAAGAGAGUGAAAAAGUACGUGAAAUUGUUGAAAGGGAAGGGCUUGCAAGCAGACACUUAACUGGGCCAGCAUCGGGGCGGCGGGAAACAAAACCACCGGGGAA